GAUCCUGGCUCAGGACGAACGCUGGCGGCGCGCCUAACACAUGCAAGUCGAACGGAGCUUAGAGAGCUUGCUUCUUAAGCUUAGUGGCGAACAGGUGAGUAACGCGUGAGUAACCUGCCCUAGAGUGGGGGACAACAGUUGGAAACGACUGCUAAUACCGCAUAAGCCCACGGUGCCGCAUGACACUGAGGGAAAAGGAUUUAUUCGCUUUAGGAUGGACUCGCGUCCAAUUAGCUAGUUGG
rnacentral:rRNA from 1 species